rnacentral:rRNA from 1 species
GAUAAACGCUGGCGACGCACGUAAGACAUGCAAGUCGAACGAACUUAAUUGAGAGCUUGCUCUCAAAGCGGUUAGUGGCGGACUGGUGAGUAACACGUAAGCAACCUGCCUAUUAGAGGGGAAUAACAGCGAGAAAUCGUUGCUAAUACCGCAUAUGCUGCGAGUACCGCAUGAUACAAGCAGGAAAGGAGCAAUCCGCUAAUAGAUGGGCUUGCGUCUGAUUAGUUAGUUGGUGGGGUAACGGCCUACCAAGACGAUGAUCAGUAGCCGGACUGAGAGGUUGAACGGCCACAUUGGGACUGAGAUACGGCCCAGACUCCUACGGGAGGCAGCAGUCGGGAAUAUUGCGCAAUGGAGGAAACUCUGACGCAGUGACGCCGCGUGCAGGAAGAAGGUUUUCGGAUUGUAAACUGCUUUUAACAGGAAAGAAAAAAAUGACGGUACCUGUUGAAUAAGCUCCGGCUAACUACGUGCCAGCAGCCGCGGUAAUACGUAGGGAGCGAGCGUUAUCCGGAUUUAUUGGGUGUAAAGGGUGCGUAGACGGAAAUGCAAGUUAGUUGUGAAAUACCUCGGCUUAACUGAGGAACUGCAACUAAAACUAUAUUUCUUGAGUAUCGGAGGGGUUUGUGGAAUUCCUAGUGUAGCGGUGAAAUGCGUAGAUAUUAGGAAGAACACCGGUGGCGAAGGCGACAAGCUGGACGAUAACUGACGUUGAGGCACGAAAGUGUGGGGAGCAAACAGGAUUAGAUACCCUGGUAGUCCACACCGUAAACGAUGGAUACUAGGUGUUGGCAAUGAAUAAUUGUCGGUGCCGGCGCUAACGCAAUAAGUAUCCCACCUGGGGAGUACGACCGCAAGGUUGAAACUCAAAGGAAUUGACGGGGGCCCGCACAAGCAGUGGAGUAUGUGGUUUAAUUCGAAGAUACGCGAAGAACCUUACCAAGGCUUGACAUAUAGAGGAAUAAGUAGGAAACUAUUUAGCUCUUCGGAGUCUCUAUACAGGUGGUGCAUGGUUGUCGUCAGCUCGUGUCGUGAGAUGUUAGGUUAAGUCCUGCAACGAGCGCAACCCCUAUUUCUAGUUGCCAGCACGUAAUGGUGGGAACUCUAGAAAGACUGCCGGUGAUAAAUCGGAGGAAGGUGGGGACGACGUCAAAUCAUCAUGCCCUUUAUGUCUUGGGCAACACACGUACUACAAUGGCCGUUACAGAGAGAAGCAAUACAGUGAUGUGGAGCAAAACUCAAAAAGCGGUCUCAGUUCGGACUGUAGGCUGAAGUUCGCCUACACGAAGUCGGAAUUGCUAGUAAUGGCAGGUCAGAAUACUGCCGUGAAUACGUUCCCGGGCCU